GAAAUGCGAUAAGUAGUGUGAAUUGCAGAAUUCAGUGAAUCAUCGAAUCUUUGAACGCACAUUGCGCCCUUUGGUAUUCCAAAGGGCAUGCCUGUUCGAGCGUCAUUUGUACCCUCAAGCUUUGCUUGGUGUUGGGCGUCUUGUCGUAUUACGACUCGCCUUAAAGUCAUUGGCAGCCGGCCUACUGGUUUCGGAGCGCAGCACAAGUCGCACUCUUUUCCAGCCAAGGUCAGCGUCCAACAAGCCUUUUUUCAACUUUUGACCUCGGAUCAGGUAGGGAUACCCGCUGAACUUAA
rnacentral:misc_RNA from 1 species